CCUACGGGGGGCUGCAGUGGGGAAUAUUGCGCAAUGGGCGAAAGCCUGACUCAGCGACGCCGCGUGGGUGAUGAAGUCCUUCGGGUUGUAAAGCCCUGUCGGGUGGAACGAACGAUCUGGCGGCGAAUAACCGCCGGGUGUGACGGUACCACCGAAGGAAGCCCCGGCUAACUACGUGCCAGCAGCCGCGUUAAGACGUAGGGGGCGAGCGUUGUUCGGAUUUACUGGGCGUAAAGCGCGCGUAGGCGGUGAAAUCCCGCGGCUGAACCGAGGUCCCGCAGCCGAUACGGUCUGGCUCGAGUCUAGGAGAGGAAAGCGGAAUUCCCAGUGUAGCGGUGAAAUGCGUAGAUAUUGGGAGGAACACCGGAGGCGAAGGCGGCUUUCCGGACUAGUACUGACGCUGAGGCGCGAAAGCUAGGGGAGCGAACGGGAUUAGAUGCCCUUGUAGUC
rnacentral:rRNA from 1 species